CACAGGGACUUCCUGGUUGUUGACG
rnacentral:misc_RNA from 1 species